ensembl:lncRNA
UUGGGCCUGUGAGAUCAUCACAUCCACCCAGCCAGGUGACUGGUUGGCUCAGGAACAAGUCCAGGACCUAGUGAGAUCCACAAUCCCUGGACUUUGUCCUGGGACAAGGCCUCCAGGUCAUAGCAGGGGAAUUCAUUGGAUCAGGGAAGCUCAGUAAGCAUCCCCUCCCCUGCCCCAUCCUCAAAUGACUCCCUGUGAGCUCUGUCUGCCGCUUCUCUUUAUUUGAAAGCCCUCAUACUUUUGUUGAGUAUUUAUAAAGAUUUUAGUAGUGCACCUCUUAGAAAAAUUGCUUCAGAAGACAAGCAGAAGAUUUUAAAUAUUCAUAGCAAUAUAAAAUGAACAAGACUACUCUAGUGUGAUCACUCCUGGAAUAAGUUCACCAAAAGAGAAGACUUGAUGCCUGAGCUCAGCAAGUAUAUCUUUUUUUGUUGUUUUUUUCAAUUCUGACAUUUGUUCUCCGUUUUGGACCGGAAGCAGCCAUGGCUCCACAUAAGAAUAGGAAGAUAUUGUGUCAUUCAGAGCCCUCUGUCCAUACUCUUCCAUCCCCAGUUGAUUCAAGUCAUCACUUGAUGAUUUGACUCAUCCUGGGGAUGCAUCAGUGUUGAGAUAUUUCACCCUGAAAUUCUCAUCGAGGACCCCCCAGUCAGAUGUAAUAAGGAAUGCCCAUAAAUCAUGCCUAAUCAUGAUACAGAAUUGCAUUCUAUCAGGUGCUCCGUGGUUAAGAAAGAUGUUCACACACCCCAGAGGCCACACCCAGACCUGUUCAACCAUCCCACAGAUAACCCAGCCCUCCCCUAAUCUCAGGUCCCAGGAUUCGGGGUAGACAGACACCAACCCUGCGUCCAGUGAUGAACCUGUGACCCUAGACAGACCUAUGAGAUCAUCCAAGCCACCAAGCCCAAGUGAUGUGUUGAUCCAGGAAUGGGCCCGGGACCCAGUGAAGUCUGAGAACCAAUUUCUGUAUUGGACUGUUGUGAUGAGAGAUUUCUUUCUUUCUGGAUUUGAAACCAUGAGAACUGUUAGUGGCCCUCUUGUCUCUUUGUCAGGGAAAAUCUGCCAAAGAAAUGGGAAGCCUCGAAGUGAUACCAAGACAGAUGAUACCAAUGUUCCCUGUUCACAAUAGUCAAAAGAAAUGGAAACAACCUAAAUGUCCAUUGACAGAAGAACAGAUAAGAAGAUGUGGCAGAUGUAUAGAAUGGAAUACUACCCACCCAUAAAAAGGAAUGAAAUGAUGUGAUCUGUAGCAAUAUGGAUGCAACUGGAGAUUAUCAUAUGAAGUAAGGAAGUCAGAAAGGAAAUACCAUAUGAUAUCACUUACACGUGGAAUCUAAAAUAUGACACAAACGGACCUAUCUUGUGAAACAGAAACAGACUCAUAACAUAGAGAACAGACUUGUGAUUGCCAAGGGGACGAGGACGGGGGGAGGAAUUGGGCGUUUGGGAUUAGCAGAUGCAAGCUGUUAUGUACAGAAUGGGCAGACAACAAGGUCCUACUGUAAGGCACAGGGAAGUAUAUUCCAUAUCCUAUGGUAUUAUAUUAUUUUCCAUCGUGUUCCAUUAAUACAAACCAUAGUGGGAGCGAAUAUUAAAAAAAGAAAGAAUGUGCAUAUAUGUAUAACUGGA